rnacentral:rRNA from 1 species
GACGAACCGUGCGAACGUUGUUCGGAACUCACUGGCUUAAAGGGCGCGUAGGCGGGCAGGCAAGUCAGGGGUGAAAGCCCACGGCUCAACCGUGGAAGUGCCUUUGAUACUGCCGGUCUGGAGGGAGGUAGGGGCGUGCGGACCUCCGGUGGAGCGGUGAAAUGCGUAGAUAUCGGAAGGAACACCGGUGGCGAAAGCGGCGCGCUGGACCUCUUCUGACGCUGAGGCGCGAAAGCCAGGGGAGCAAACGGG